AGAGUGAGGGAGAGAAAAUUUGGUUAGCUUCAUCAUCUGCUGAUCAUAAUCAAGAAGAGAAAGGCAAGGAAAAUAGGAGGGAUAGCUGGUGCAGACCUUGAGGAAACAAAGCUGGGAAAAUCUGGAAGUAGCCGUGAACCAGGAAACCAACUCGAGACUCGAGAGUAGUCAUUUGAAUCUUUGGAGUUGGAGAUUGAAAAGUGAUUGGAUGGAAUUGGAAAGUUGUUUUGGGAAAUUCCAUC